rnacentral:rRNA from 1 species
CCUACGGGCGGCAGCAGUCGAGAAUCAUUCACAAUGGGGGAAACCCUGAUGGUGCGACGCCGCGUGGGGGAAUGAAGGUCUUCGGAUUGUAAACUCCUGUCAUGUGGGAGCAAAUUAAAAAGAUAGUACCACAAGAGGAAGAGACGGCUAACUCUGUGCCAGCAGCCGCGGUAAUACAGAGGGCUCAAGCGUGGUUCGGAAUCACUGGGCGUAAGGCGUGCGUAGGCUGUUUCGUAAGUCGUGUGUGAAAGGCGCGGGCUCAACCCGCGGACUGCACAUGAUACUGCGAGACUGGAGUAAUGGAGGGGGAACCGGAAUUCUCGGUGUAGCAGUGAAAUGCGUAGAUAUCGAGAGGAACACUCGUGGCGAAGGCGGGUUCCUGGACAUUAACUGACGCUGAGGCACGAAGGCCAGGGGAGCGAAAGGGAUUAGAUACCCUUGUAGUC